rnacentral:rRNA from 1 species
GAUGAACGCUGGCGGCGUGCCUAAUACAUGCAAGUCGAGCGAACAGAUAAGGAGCUUGCUCCUUUGACGUUAGCGGCGGACGGGUGAGUAACACGUGGGUAACCUAUCUAUAAGACUGGAAUAACUCCGGGAAACCGGGGCUAAUGCCGGAUAACAUGUUGAACCGCAUGGUUCUACAGUGAAAGGCGGCUUUGCUGUCACUUAUAGAUGGACCCGCGCCGUAUUAGCUAGUUGGUGAGGUAACGGCUCACCAAGGCAACGAUGCGUAGCCGACCUGAGAGGGUGAUCGGCCACACUGGAACUGAGACACGGUCCAGACUCCUACGGGAGGCAGCAGUAGGGAAUCUUCCGCAAUGGGCGAAAGCCUGACGGAGCAACGCCGCGUGAGUGAUGAAGGUCUUCGGAUCGUAAAACUCUGUUAUUAGGGAAGAACAAAUGCGUAAGUAACUGUGCGCGUCUUGACGGUACCUAAUCAGAAAGCCACGGCUAACUACGUG